rnacentral:misc_RNA from 1 species
UACAGAGGGUGCAAGCGUUGUUCGGAAUCACUGGGCGUAAAGCGCGUGUAGGCGGCAAGGUAAGUCGGAUGUGAAAUCCCUGGGCUCAACCUAGGAAGUGCAUCCGAUACUGCAUUGCUUGAGUGUCGGAGGGGAUGGCGGAAUUCCCGGUGUAGAGGUGAAAUUCGUAGAUAUCGGGAGGAACACCUGUGGCGAAGGCGGCCAUCUGGACGAUUACUGACGCUGAGACGCGAAAGCGUGGGGAGCAAACAGG